rnacentral:rRNA from 1 species
UACGAAGGGGACUAGCGUUGUUCGGAAUUACUGGGCGUAAAGUGCACGUAGGCGGAUUUGUAAGUCAGGGGUGAAAUCCCGGGGCUCAACCUCGGAACUGCCUUUGAUACUGCAAAUCUCGAGUCCGAUAGAGGUGGGUGGAAUUCCUAGUGUAGAGGUGAAAUUCGUAGAUAUUAGGAAGAACACCGGUGGCGAAGGCGGCCCACUGGAUCGGUACUGACGCUGAGGUGCGAAAGCGUGGGGAGCAAACAGG